GUUUUACAAUUGUUUCAGAUAUCUCUAAAGUCAUCUAUGCUCAAUACCACUUUUUUUUUUUUUUUUUUUGGUACCAGGGAUCAAACUCAGGACCUUGCACUUUCGAGGCAGGCGCUGGAACGACGGAGCUAAAUCCCCGGCAUCAAUACCACUUUAAAAUUGUACAGCUCAGCAUAGCCCAGGCUGUCCUUGAACUCAUGGUGAUCCUUUUGCCUCAGGCUCUGGAGUGUUCCACACCCUACCUGAACUUUGAUCUUUUGCAGGUGGUUGGUCCAUCUGACUCCUGCACCUCAACUGAGACUAUGGCUCUGUGGAAUUCCAGGACAUGGACAUUAUUCUCCAACAUAUAUGUGAAAACAAAAUCAUGCUCAUUUUCAAAUUGCUGCAUCAAUAUCAAUAUGAUAGGUGCACACAGGAAGAAAAAGACUAAUCUUAAUUGUAUAUAACUGUGGAA
rnacentral:lncRNA from 1 species